GGGCCCGCACAAGCGGUGGAGUAUGUGGUUUAAUUCGAUGCAACGCGAAGAACCUUACCAGGGUUUGACAUCCUGCGAAUCUCUUGGAAACAGGAGAGUGCCUUCGGGAACGCAGUGACAGGUGGUGCAUGGCUGUCGUCAGCUCGUGUCGUGAGAUGUUGGGUUAAGUCCCGCAACGAGCGCAACCCACGUCUUUAGUUGCCAGCAUUUAGUUGGGCACUCUAGAGAGACUGCCGGUGAUAAACCGGAGGAAGGUGUGGAUGACGUCAAGUCCUCAUGGCCCUUACGGGUUGGGCUACACACGUGCUACAAUGGUAGUGACAAUGGGUUAAUCCCAAAAAGCCAUCUCAGUUCGGAUUGCUCUCUGCAACUCGAGAGCAUGAAGUCGGAAUCGCUAGUAAUCG
rnacentral:rRNA from 1 species